rnacentral:lncRNA from 1 species
UUUUUUUUUUUUGUGACGAGCUCAUCAAACGUCCAAACACUUUGAAAUUUUGCACGCACCUAGAAGAUUCUCUGAACUUUCAUGUGUAAAAAUUUCAGAUAUUUUUGAAUUUAUUGCUAUUUUUUUGAAUUUAUUGUUCAUCGGGAGUAGAUGAGCCUGGGCACCGUUUUGAAUUAUCGGUAUAAUAUGAACUUCUUCUGAAAAAACGUCCAUGUGUCUAGCUUCAUACAUUGCUCGCACCUAUAGAGAAGUUAAAUUCUAUUGAGCUACCAACAUAUGGUGCUUAGCACUUUUCUUGGUAACGAGCUUGAGGCGGCCUGUGAAACCUUCGUUUUUCCCCUAAGAGCAUCUCCAAUAGAAAAUUUAGAUGUAAAAACAGCUAACUUUUAAAUCCCCGAGGCCUAAAAACUCAUCUCCAACAGAUCAUAUAGAUGUAAAACAAUUUACAUCACCUCCUCUAAGUGAUGUAAAAUACAAAACUUGAAGAUGAAAAUUUGCAUCACCAACCGCCUGGUGAUGUAUAUAGCCCACCUCGUCGCCGCUGGUCCUGUUGCAUUUUGCCUCNNNNNNNNNNNNNNNNNNNNNNNNNNNNNNNNNNNNNNNNNNNNNNNNNNNNNNNNNNNNNNNNNNNNNNNNNNNNNNNNNNNNNNNNNNNNNNNNNNNNNNNNNNNNNNNNNNNNNNNNNNNNNNNNNNNNNNNNNNNNNNNNNNNNNNNNNNNNNNNNNNNNNNNNNNNNNNNNNNNNNNNNNNNNNNNNNNNNNNNNNNNNNNNNNNNNNNNNNNNNNNNNNNNNNNNNNNNNNNNNNNNNNNNNNNNNNNNNNNNNNNNNNNNNNNNNNNNNNNNNNNNNNCCCCAUAGCAACAUGCCGAGCGCUGCCGCCCCACCCCGCCUCAGUUGAAGCUCCCCCGCCGCCCGAUCCGAGUUUCACCUGCGUGUUUCGAGCUCUGCCGCCGCCCCGCCCCGCUCCUUGUCUCGAUUUGAAGCUCGGCCGCCUGAUUCAAGCUCCGCCGUCGGCGCCCGUCUCAGCUCGACGCUCAGCCGCCGCCAUGCUGCCGAAGAAAGUGUCGAAGAGCAAGACCGGCUUCUUAGGGGUGCGGAAGAAGCCGUCUGAGAACUUCGGUGUGGAGUUCCAGUGCGAUGGCUAUCGCUACUGGAUCGGCACGUUUGACUUCGUCAACAUGCCCGCGCGUGCGUACGAAAUCGCCAUGUGGCGUUUCUGACGGCCGAGGCGCGAGAUGAACUUUCCGGAGAUCGAGACUCAGGUAGACACGGAGCUAAUUGGGCCGGAGAAUCACAAUAUUUGGCGGAUGGACGAGAAUGAGGAGAAGAAGAACAAGAAGAAGCCAGUGAUUAUCGUUGCUCCCGGCAAUAGUGACGAGGCGGCAAAGGCGAGAUUCACGCGGGAGCAUCCGGAGUAUGUCCAGACCGAGCACGAGUUCUCUAGGAAGCGUGAGGCCGAGCAGCAAAAGAAGGCGGUGAGGAAGGAUGUGGAGGAGGCCGGCGCCUCGGCGGUGAUCCCCGUCUAGUCCGACUCGUCGGACUGGGAUGACUCGGAGGAGGACGAGUGCGACAACCCCAAGAAGAAGGUGUUCUGGGAGCAGUUCAAGAGCGACGGCGAGUAGGCUCGGAGUAGUAGUAGUUUGAUGCAUGUAGUAAUUUGAAGUAUGUUUAAUUAUGUUUAAUAACUAUGUUUGCUUCAAAUGAACUUGCUAUAUUUAAAGUUAUGUUUGGAAUAAUAUAGUAGUUGUACUAGUUUUACAUCUUCAAAUACAUCAUUUGGUGGAGUAGUAGUUUUACAUCACCAAAUAUACACAUCUCUUGAAGUUAGGACUUUUUAAAGAUGUAUAAAAAGAACUUUUUGUUGAUGUAAAUUAUACAUCACUUGCUUUUACAUCUUCUAAUGAAGAUGCUCUAAUGCUCCAAAUGCCCCUUCCGAAACAUACUCGCUUCGUCUCAAGUGUCAAAAAAAUGUCUUACACUUUGAGGCAAAGGGAGUAUUUGAAUGUGCAGUAGGACAAGAAGAUUGCAGAGAGGACCCUCGAGAACACAAGGCGACGAUGUUGCUGCAGUUCAGUUCUUGCUUCGCUGAUGAAUGAUGAUUGUGUUUGGUGUGUAAACAAUGCCGGGCGAAAGUCUUCCCUUCUAAUCUCAAGCUCAAGAGCUCCUGCUAUGAACAGUAAAAGUCUGAUUUUUUUACGACCAACACUGCUUAGUUUUCUAUGUGCAUGCAAAUUUCGUGAUGAAAUUACAUUCGUGGAGGUUUAGAAUUCUUUUCGCAAAAUCAGCAACUCAAAACGCUUUCAAAAAUAUUCUUUCUGGAGCAUUGAUUUUUCUUUUGACAGAGUAUUAGCAAUGUUAUUUUUUUCACAAAAUCAGCACUUUAGUAGUGAUCUAAACACUCUUAUAUUUCUUUACAGAGGGAGUAGAAUAUUCACCGAUGUUUGCUGGCAAAGAAAUCAUGUUUUUUAUUUUUUGUGUUACUGUUUGUUUCAAUUUAAUUGUUCACGAGGGUACAUGCAGAACUUAUAUUUCUACGAUGCUGCAAAGUGGUUUCAGUUCCCUUAAAAGUUGAAAAUUUUAGUCAGGAGGUCAUUGAUGUUUAUAUGCAAACAAUCCAUGUGCCUUCAUGAGAUGCUUGGUUCAUUUGGAGAUCCAGAUGAAAUUUUCGCGAGAGCAAUGACAGUGACGAUAAUCGAACCAGUUUGGGUUGCAGUAUUACUACUGAUUUUGCGAAAAGCAUUAUAAUACUCCUGUACAAAUACUACAAUUUGCAGUCAUUGAAGAAAUCAAUGAAAUUUUGUAGAAAAAAAAGGAGAAAAUAAGGAAAAGAAUGUUGAAUCAGAGCUGCCGAGGAGCAGGAUGGAGCUCAGCGGAGCGGUCGAGCUCGGCGAGCAUGGCCACCCGGUCCAUCUCGUACCCACACACGUCCAUGUCCCCGUCGCCGUCCCCCGACCAGUCCACCCUGCCCACCCGCAUCGUCUCCACGUCCACCGCGUACACCUGCGUCCUGCCGCCCCUGUUCCUCGCCGUGAAGAGCGCCACGCCGCUCUUCUCGCAGAACCACCUCAACCUCACCGCCUGCAGGCCCAUGAGCUCCGUGUUCAGCGUCCACCGCCACUCCUUCCUCCCCGACACGCCGCCGUUCCUCACCGCGUCGGCGUAGACGACCACGUAGGCGCGCACCGCGUCGGCCUUGCACUCCAGCACGCACAGCCUCCCGUCCGGCAUCAGCCCCAGCAGCCGGUCCACCUCGCUGCCGAGGGAGGCCUUGGCGCGGCGCGGCGGCGACUCGAAGGCCUGCACGGUGUAGCCAAAGCUGGACGUGUGCAGCGUGGCCGGGUUGACGGCGAUGCCGAGCCCGUACCAGCAGACGGCGCCGCCCCGCACCAGCGUCGCGUGCGCCCUGACGCCCAGCUGCCGCCCCCUCGCGAUCCGGGCGCCGGUCACCUCCACCUCCGGGCCCCAGCUGCCGUCCUCCGAGGAGUAGCGCCGGAGCGCCGUGUAGCUGCGGUGGUUGUAGAGGAGCAGCACGCGGUACGAGGACGAGGACGUGGACGUGGCCGCGCAUGCGUCGUACAGGUGGAGCCCGUCGUCGGCGGUGAGCAGGGCGCACGCGUACGGCCCCGGGCGGUCCUUGCCGGUCAGGGGCGGGAGCAGGUCGGCGUCGCCGGUCAUGGGGUCGCACACGCAGAGCCGCAGCACGCAGGCGCUCUUGGCGCGGCGGAGGUCCAUCACGACGCGGCCGUUGCGGGACGCGACGACGCGCGACGACGAGCCCGGCACGCCGCCGUCGGUGAUCGAGAGGUCGGGCUUCGUGAAGGGCACGAAGCCGUCGCCGUGCAGGAAGACGCCGACCGCGAGGCGGCGGGCGAAGCGGUCGCAGCGCGGGGGGCCGCGGCGGCAGAUGAAGGCGGCGUCGGAGGAGACGAGGCGGCGCCAGCGCCUGCAAGCGGCAGCGCAGCGGACGAGGUCCCCGGCGUCGGAGAGGGCGGAGAAGACGAGGAGCAGGGUCUCGUCGCACAGGGGCAGCGCCUGGUCGCCGUGCUCGGGCCCGUGCCGCUUGAACGGCCUGCGGCGGGCGGCGAGCCACCCUCUGCUCCCGCCUGCGGAGGGAUCCGUCCCUGCGGCGGUGGCCGGGCGUCGGCGGCGGCCGCAGCGGCGACGUGGCGGCCGUGACGGCGGCAUGAUGAUCGGCCGGUUGGGAUUUGGGGGAGAUCGAGCAAGGGUUUAGGGGGGCGUGUUUACAGAGGUAAUCGCCCAGAUCCGUAAAGGAAGAUCGCCAGAUUUUCCGUCUCAUGGGCCAGUUGGAUCUCCGUUUCACGUCAGAGAAAAAAAAGGACAAAGAAUCGAUGGGCCUGCCUGCCAAUGAUGAAGGCCCAUUGUGGCGUCCCAGCGGCCAGUGGCUGCUUGGUCCUCACUGGCCUAAAAAACACAAAAAAUGCCUCACUGCACUCAUCUCCAUCGCAAGUUCUCAACAACCUCCUCCUUCGCUCACAUUGCCAAAAUGCGUUUGAAAAUAAUAUUUUUGGAGCAUCGGUUUUGUUUUUUUGCCACAUUUUACACAAAUUUCAUCUGGCGAUGAAAUUUUGCAAGCUAUCAAAACAUUUGUCAAAGUUUCAUACAAAAAAAAUCAGAAUUUUCUAAAUUGUUAUCUUUUUAAUUUUAUUGUUCACCCAAGCUCACGUAAGCACGGGAUCAUAACAGCUGCAUAUGGAGAAAGAGGAAUACCAUCCCCUGAUUAUAGCAUGGUUAAUAGUAUAAUCAACUGCUAGUUAUAUGAUGUUGUAUCAUCACUUAUAGUCACUCAUACAACAAGUUUGGCUACAAGAGUAGUACUUCUUUUCACCUUCUUUCUAUCUCUUUCUUCAUAUGUAUUGUAUUUGCGUAGAAGUACGCAUAUAGUUAACUCUUGCAUGAGAACCAUUUCCGUCAUCUUCUAAUGUCUCUGUCCUUCAUAUAGGCAAAAAUGACCUAUAAGCGGGCUAUAAGCCCGACCUGUAAUUGCUUUGAUUAGAGUACAACUCUAACUCGUCAACUUAGGCACACCCCUUUUUCCCUAAAAAAAAGAAUAAGGAAAUUACCCUUCUCGAUCAUGUGCGAUGUUUUAUCCCUUCUUCCCCCAUGAUAAUUCUUACUAGCAUCCACGAAGUAAAUGGAUUUUAUCAAAAAAUUGAAGUAAAUGGAUUUUUAAAGAAGAGUAAUUAAGAUGUAGCAAAAAUUAUGCCUCGACUCGUCCAGAACAUGUUUCGAGAGUGUGUGCUAACCAAUCAACAGGACUUGGAAGCCGAUGUCCCCAUCGCAAAAAUUAUUUGAGAGCAUAAAGAAAGAAAUGUGCGCUGUUGGAUGAAUGAGCAACUAGUAUUCACUGAGGGCCAGAGGCCAGUACAUAUACAUGUGUGGCAAAGUGCAGAGAACCCCCUAUACAUUAGGGAUAUACAGACAAGAGACUAUACACAUCUAACACCCCCCCCCCCUCAAACUCAUAGUGGAUCAACAACACUGAGUUUGGAGAAAAGAAAGCUAUGUUGCGCUCGAGUUUGUGCCUUCGUGAAGAAGUCCGUCAAUUGUAACCCAGAGGGCACAUGAAGAGCAAGAAUCUAAUCUUGCACAGCAGCACGCACAAAGUGGGCAUCCACGCCGAUGUGCUUGGUGAGCUCAUGCUUCACCGGGCCACGCGCAAUACUGAUAACACCGGUACCGUCAGACAGUAAUGGAGUGGAAGUAGAAGCAGCCACACCAAAAUCCUCAAGUAACCAUCGUAACCAGAUCACCUCAGCCAUCAACAUAGCCAUUGCUCGCAACUCAGCCUCGGUGCUCGAGCGAGAAACUGCAGUCUGUUUCUUGAUCUUCCAGGCAAUAAGAGAGCCUCCAAGAAAGACACAGUAAGCAGACAGCGAGUGUCGAUCUGAGGGAUCACUAGCCCGAGUAGCAUCGGAGUAGGCCUGGAGCUCGAGAGAACUGGAGCGAGGGGAAAAGGCGAUGAGAGAUCGUGCCACGAAGAUAUCGUAGAACACGGAGGAGAUGACUAUAGUGGAUAGAGGUGGGGGCUGCAAGAAACUGACUCAGGAUGUGAACAGGAUGGGAUAUGUCAGGACGUGUAACAGCAAGAUAGACAAGGCUGCUAAUGAGGUGACGAUAGCGAGUGGGAUUAGGAAGAGGAUCACCAUCAGAGGCACGUAGCUGAAUGUUGAGGAGUCACAACAGUGCGCUCAUCACCGAGAGCGGCGCGGGCAAGAAGAUCCUGAAUAUAUUUUUCCUGAGAGAUGUAGAAGCCAUCAGAGGUCGAGGAGAUCUCAAUCCCAAGAAAAUAGCGAAGUAGACCAAGAUCGGACAUGAGAAACUGGUUGUGAAGGCGAGCCUUGACAAAGGCAAUAUAGUCAGAGUCGUCACCAGUGAUGAUCAUGUCAUCAACAUAGAGAAGGAGAAGAGUCUGACCACGAGAAGACGUGUGAACAAACAAUGUGGGAUCAUGGUCACUGGGCAAAAAGCCAGCGGCAGUCACCAUAGAGGCGAAGCUCUCAAACCAGGCGCGAGGGGCCUGUUUAAGACCAUAGAGGAAGCGGCGAAGGCGACAGACCAUGCCAUCAGGAGCAUAGUACCCCGGUGGUGGCUACAUAUACACCUCCCCACGUAACUCGCCAUUGAGAAAGGCGUUCUGGACAUCAAGUUGAGAGAUGGACCAAUUGCGAACAGAAGCCACAACAAGGAGAGUGCGGACAGUGGUCAUGUGAGCCACAGGAGCGAAUGUCUCAUCAUAAUCGCGUCCUUGCUCCUGCUGGAAACCACGGGCCACAAGACGAGCUUUGUAGCGCUCAAGAGAACCAUCGGAGCGAGUCUUAACUUUGUAGACCCACUUGCAAGUGAUGGGACGAACACCAGAAGGAGGAGAAACCAGAUCCCACGUGCCAUUGUGCUCAAGCGCCGCAAGCUCCUCGACCAUCACAAGCUACCAUUCAGGGUGAGUCAUGCCGGCCCGAUAGGUGGUGGGCUCAGCAAUGGCAGAAAGACCAUACCGGUCAGGAGAAUAGCGAUCAGGAGGAGGACAAGGCCUAACACGAAGGUUAUGGACCGACGUAGGCGUGAGAGGUGGUGCACCAAAAGUAGAGGCACAUCAGUAGGAUCAGCGCUAGCACGAGGACGACGAGUGUAGUAGUGAGGAAAAGGGGAGUGUGGGUGAAAGACUGGAGAGGAAGGUGGGGAGGGAGAUGAGGAGGAGGGAGGGGAUGGUGGUACCGGUGGUGUAGGGAGACUCCUCUGGGAGAGGGUAGAACAGAGGGCACAGAGGGAGAUGUGUCGGGAAGGAGAAGGAAGGAAAUAUCUUCCACGGAAAAGCUCGAGGAGGAGGGACGCGGAUAGUAAAAACGAGACUCAUCAAAAGUCACAUCACGCGAAAUGCGCAGUCGGCGACCAACAGGAUCCCAACAGCGAUAGCCCUUGUGCUCAUCACUAUAGCCAAGGAAAACACACUCAACUGGCUGAGCAGUCAACUUGGUUCGUUCUCGUGGAGCAAGAAGAACAUAGCACACGCACCCAAACAUACGAAGAGCGGAGUAGUCAGGAGAGCGAUCAGAGAGAUGCUCCAUAGGAAUACCACCCUUCAAGGCAACCGAUGGCUGAAUGUUGAUGAGGUGUGUGGAUGCGGAUACUGCCUCAGCCCAAAAAUGAGGUGGAAGAGAGGCGGCGAUCAUCAUUGCCCGAGCCGUCUCAAGCAAAUGGCGAUGUUUGCGUUCAGCAACGCCAUUCUGAGCAUGGGCACCAGGGCAAGAGAAUUGGGCAAGAGUGCCCUGCUCUGCAAGAAAACCACGCAACAUGUGAGAGAUAUACUCUCCAGAUGAGCCAGCACGGAAGAUACGGACAGACGUGGAAAAUUGAGUGCGAACAAUGGCAGCAAAACGCUUGUAUAUGGGGAGAACCUCGCUGCGAGAUUUCAUACAGUAAAGCCAAGUGUAGCGAGAGAAAUCAUCAAUAAAUAGAACAUAGUAGCGAUGACCCCCUUUCGAGUCAAAAGGAGCAGGACCCCAUACAACAGAAUGAACUAAGUCAAAAGGACGCUGAGAUACAGACUCACUGGUAGGAUAAGGUAACUGGGUCUGUUUGUCAAGCCUACAACCAUCACAAUGCAACGAAACAUCACCAGAGACAGACCCUAAGAUGCCUUGGUGUACUAAUGAGGAUAAGCGAGAGCCACAGAUGUGACCAAGUCGAUGAUGCCACUGCUGGAAGGACACAAAAGAGGAGGCAGCAAGAGCAUGGGAGCUGGCGUAUGUGGUAGCAGCGGAAGGAACACGAAGCCAGUCAACCUCCCAAAGGCCCUCAGACUCACGGCGCCGAGGGCCAGCGCCAACCAGAGCCUGAGUGCGACGAUCCUGAACAGAACAAGAGUCAGCAUCAAGAAUGACACGACAACCAGAAUCAGUAAGUUGGGCAGCGGAAAAGAGAUUCAUGGUAAGACGAGGAACAUGAGAAACACUAGGAACCGAGAAAGAUGGAGUGGAAAGGAUGCCAUGACUAGCAGCAGGAAGAGGUGUGCCAUCGGCCGUGAAAACAUUAAGAGGAAAACCAGGAGGACGAAGAGAAGAUAAAACAGAAGAAUCAGAAGACAUAUGAAAAGAAGCUCCAGAAUCCAGAACUCACGAGGAUGUACCUGUCUGAGUAGGCUCCAGCGGGGGCAGAGUGGUGGUGGCUGUCACGACGGCAACAGAACCCGUCAAGGAAGAACCGGAUGAUGCCAACAUGCGCUUGAGCCGCAGAAUAUCCUGGUCAGUAAGCGACGCAGUCGAGGAAGACGCACGAGUCCCACUAGAUGAAGAGCGCUUCAGGUCUCUCCGCUUCUUGUGACAAUCUGAUUCUGGGUGACCUGGCCUGUUGCAGUAGCCACAGAAGGUGUGCGAGCACGACCGACCCUCUCCUGAAGGAGGGUGAAACGCCCCCCUGGAGGUGUGGGCAGGAGCGGUGGAGUAGUGAGGUGAGCAGACAACACAAGAGCUUGGGCAGCAAGAACAGUGGGAACCACAAGCAGAUCAGCGGACCGAAGAUGUGUCUCCUCAGCACGAAGCUCGGCAAGCACCUCCGAAAUAGGAACACGACCACGAGCAAGCAGGUGAGCACGCCGAGGCUCAAACUUUGAGCGAAGGCGAGGUAGGAACUCGUGGAGACGAUGAAACUCCAAGUCUGACCGCACAGUCUGACAACAGCGGCAAGUACCACAAACCACAGUCUGGAGAGAGUCAAGCUGACGCCAGAUGGCAGAGCUCUGGGAGUAGAACUCAUCAAUAGAAGAGUCACCCUGCUGCAGAGCAUGCUCCUGACGCACCACAGAUAGGUAGAGAGCAUCACCAGAUGGCUGAUAUCGGUGACAAAGAUAGGUCCGCAUCGCAGCAACAGUACCAAGACCCAUGAACUCAGACGCAGACUGGGGUAAGACACUCGCAGUGAGAACCGGAGCCGCUCGAGCAUCAUCGUUGCACCACUGAGUGUAAGCAGACAGAUCAUCCCGGUAAACAGAAAGAGCAUCUGAGUAAGCGGAUACCUGCUGAUCAUAAGCAUCCAUCGCAACAUCAUCAAGGGCCUUGGCUGCAUCCCGAUCAGCCUGAGAAGCGUCGGCAGCAAGAACAGGCGGGACCGGUGGGAUAGGAGCCACAGGAGCAACAUGACAUGGCGGACAGGGGACCUCGCCAGAGAAAACGCCCCACAGGAGAAGACCGCGCAUGUGGAUGCACAUGAAACCCACAAACUCAGCAUAGUUGGUGUCAUCGAAGAUCACCGUGCACCGAGGGACAACCACAUAUCCCGAGGAAGACAUGGUGAGCCUUUUUUUGGUCAACUGCUACAGUGCGCCCGAUCUAGAUCAGGCAGACCCGCUCACGAGGGGAACGAAGCGGGGCUCGAGCAAAUCGAGCGGACAAGGUGGCCAAGCGACAGCUGAAGGCCACGACCAGGAGGAGAUCGCAGCUUGGGCUGCAGAUCCAGAUUGAGGGCCCAUCCAGGCGGGAAGCAGCACCAGGCAAGAGCGGCCGGGACACCGGGCGAGAGCUGCCGGGCUGGGGCGACGUCCAGGCAGAGGCGGGCGGUGGCCAGGUGCAGCAGCAGGGCGGCCAACCGGCAAAGCAGGAAGCAGGGGCGCCCGAUCGGGCGGAGUAGGACAAGGCCGCCUCGAGCGCCGACGGCUAGGGCGCAGCAGGAGCGGGCGCCGGAUCCAGCCGAUCCAGCCGGACGGAAGGAGUCGGGCUUGGCCAAGAGAGAGACGGCCGGUGACGUACGGGAAACAGCCGGAAUCGAGGUGAGCUAGGAGUGGCGCGCACGGAGUUGCAUCGUGCGGGAGAGCGAUGCUAACCUAACAUCUGAUACCAUGUUGGAUGAAUGAGCAACUAGUAUUCACUGAGGGUCAGAGGCCAGUACAUAUACAUGUGUGGCAAAGUGCAGAGAACCCCUUAUACAUUGAGGAUAUACAGACAAGAGACUAUACACAUCUAACAUGCGCUAACACAGGAAGAAGGAUAUAUCUGGUGCAGAAAGUAUCAGGGGCCACAAGAGCUUGAUGAAGAUUGUUGAUGGCGCGACAAAGACAAGUUAUGCAUAAACCUUGUAUAUUCUUUCUUUUUUGCGGGGUCAUAAAUCUUGGAUGUUCAAUCCAAUAAUUAAUUAGGGUACACUUAAGAGAUUUUAUAGAGUAGGGUGGGGGGGGGGGGGCAGUGGCCCCCUUUGGCCCAUGAAGCUCCGCCACUGCACCAAACCAUAUAUGCUCCCAAUUUGAAGAAAUUCAAAUUUGAACAUUCUGAAAAAAUCUAUAAAAAGUAUGGACGUUGGCAACACAUACGUAUACAAUCCCUAAAAAACUCAGAUCCAAAAUCUAAAUAUACGUUGAGGAAUAUAAAAGACAAAUCCAUCAUGGUUAGUGUAAAGCUAAGACACAAGCAAAAUGACAUAUUCAUACAUGAAUUUCUCCUUUUUGUUUCUUCAUGUGCGAAUUUUUGGGGGCUGUGCACGCUUGUCCUGUGAGCACACAUUCCCCUCCAAUGAAUUUUUAGAAACAAUUGUGUCGCGGCAUAUUUAGAGAUAUCUAGCUAUUGAAGACAAGGCUAAGUAAGAAUAACGAAUUGCACGUCAUUUUUUUUAUUGUCCUUUCUAAAUUACGUUACAGCCACAAGAUAGUCCUAUCAACAAUGACCCCGCGCAAAGAUGUUAAGUAAGACAUGCUCUAAGGACUGAUAUAAUUGGAUAUUUUUUUUCCAUGUCCGGUGAAACCAUGCAACGUACAACUAUGCAAAGGACAGGUUUUGGGUCUUCCCUGGCGGCGCCUCAACUGCUCCAAUGGGCAUAUAUAUGCCUAUAUAUGGUGCUUUGUUAAGUCCGUCGUCCGGUAGCACGACAUCGCUGACGCACCAAUUGAGGAAUCGAUGCAAAAAAAAAACAUUGAGGAACGGAAUAGGAAUAUGCGACGCGGUACUGUUUUGCCGGCCCUGAUCUUCCCUGUCGGUGCUGACUUUUGUCAUCUGUUCUUUGUAAAAAAUGUAACGCGGAUUAUCAGCCAAUUUCGCUACAGUUGUAGUAAGAUCUUAAAAGGCGUUUAACAUGAGCAGCAUUUCUCUGCCAUGUACUCUCUCCGUUCCCAAAAAUAUAAGUCUUUUUAAAGAUUUCAAUAAAUGACCACAUACUGUACAAAAUUAGUGAAUCUACAUUUUAAAAUAUGUCUAUAUACAUCCGUAUAUUGUAGUCCAUUUGAAUUGUCUAAAAAGACUUAUAUUUAGAAAGGGAGGCAGUACGUACUGUAGUAGCAAUGGCACUCAAAAAAUAGAUCAUAACAAACAAAACCUAGUAGCAAUGGCACUCCAAAAAUAGAUCAUAACAAACAAAACCGUCAAGCAUUUGAGCUUCACAUACAUAUAAGAGACUGAAAGCUUCAACCGCCAAACGAUACUGCUCAGGUACAGAGCAGCUAAUAGACAGUGGCCGGGGAAGAACACAAGGGGCUGGUGGAAAUCAUCAUAACAACAUGCAACAAGGAGCAAAGGAAAAUCAGCUCAAGAGAUUAUACAACCAUGGCUGGAACUCACAAACAUUACAACACGCACAAUUGCUAGCACAACAAUCAAAUACGUAUAUAUGUAAAUGAAAGCAAGAUCUUGCACAAAAGCAAACACAGCACAGUAAAAAUAACCACCGUGGGAUGCCAGAAAUAUAUCAUCUAAGUUUAACAUCUGUUACAUCACCACAACCAUCAUCAAAACCACAGUCUCAGUAGCACCACAUACAAACAACAAGAUAGUAAGGAAGACACAUAGGGAGAAAAAUACCGCGCCUCCCUUCACAGCAACAGCCAGCAGCAAAACAUGACCCAAAGUUUAGAGCUUGUCCUCGAAAUCGGAUAGGGGGGUCAUCUGCUCCUUGAGACCCUUCCUCUUGCGGAUCUCCGUCACGAGCGUCGCCGACUGGGUGCCGGGGUCCAAAGGAUCGGAGGCCAUGAUGUCCCAGUGGUCAAACACGCACUGGGGGAAGGCCUGGCCGGACGUCGCGGCCCUCAGGGUGCUCGAGAACCCGAAGGACUCGAUGACGGGCAGGUAGGCCUUGAUGUUGUAGAGUGGGGUACCUUGCCUCUGCAUCUCCUCGAACACGUGCCCUCUCUUCUGAUUCAGCACACCAUAGAUACCACCAAGUGCGUUCUCCGGGGCCUGGAUCUCAACCAGGUACACGGGCUCCAGCAGCCUUGGCUUGGCAGUGAGCUGAGAAGCGUAAAUGACCCUCCUCGCCGUUGGGAUGACCUGACCACCACCCCUGUGAAUAGCAUCAGUGUGGAGAACAACAUCACAGACCUCAUAGCAGAUGCCGCGCAUGUUCUCCUCACAUAGUGCUCCUUCUUUUGAUGCCCACUGGAACCCAGCCACAACAGAGUCCUUGAUUUCAUUCAGGUACUGCACUCCCUUACACAUGUCCACAACCAUGUUGGGGCCAGUCGUCUCAGGUCCAAAGCACCAAAUCUUCUUGGCGAGAUCCUUGUCCCAACCAAACUCCUCAGACAGGAUCUUGGAGCGCACCUUAGGAUCAUCACGCGGGCCAAUGCGGCCAUCAUCAAUAGCCUCAGCCAAUCCCUCCUCCAAUGGGCGAGCUUCCAUGUAAAGACGGUUAUGCUUGUUGGGGGACUUGCUCAUAACGGUACGGCAGGACUUCUCCAGAACAGUCUCACGGAAGGAGACGACAGGGGGGGAAACAAUGAUUUCAGCACCACCCAUGAAGUCAUCCUGCAGAUCCUUCAAGCAGAUUUCAAGAUGAAGCUCUCCGGCUCCAGCGAUGAUAUGCUCACCAGACUCUUCAAUGGUACAGAGAACCAUAGGAUCAGACUUGGCCAGACGCUUCAAACCCUCAACAAGCUUAGGAAGAUCAGAAGCCACCUUGCACUGAACAGCAACACGUACAACAGGGGACACAGAGAACUUCAUUGCCCUGAUUGGGCAGGCAUCAACUUCCUUCUCGUUUGUCAGGGUUGCAUUCUUGGUGAUGAACUGAUCCAAACCAACCAAAGCAACGGUGUUACCACAGGGAACAUCCUCAACAGACUCUUGCUUCUUUCCCAUCCAGAUAACAGUCCGCUGGACACUCUUCACAUAUAGAUCCUUCUUCUGGCCAGGAACAAAGUUGGGACCCAUGAUACGGACCUUCAUGCCAGUUGCGACCCUCCCGGCGAAAACACGUCCAAAGGCAAAGAAUCUACCCUUGUCAGAUGCUGGAAUCAUCUUGGAGACAUACAGCAUAAGAGGACCUUCAGGGUCACAGUUUCUGAUGGCAUUUGCAUAUAUGUCAUCAAGGGGGCCCUCGUACAAGUUCUCCACACGAUACCUCUGUGCCUUUGAAGGAGAGGGGAGGUGAAAUAUCAUCAUCUCAAGCAGAGCACGACUGGCAGGCAGCCAAGUUUGCAUCACACGCUUCAUGAGAGCCUUGCCCAUCAAGUCCUUCUCAUCAUUCUUCAUGGUCACACCAAGCUUCUUCAACAUAGGCCACAACUUAUCCUUCUGGUCAUUCAUGCAGGUUGCUAUGAUUUGCUUGAUUGGCUCAUAGCAGAACUGAACGAAACCUCUCUUGCAGGUAGCUGUCCCAGUGUUCUUGGAGGUCCAUUUCUUUGUGGCUGGGUCAAAGAAGUUCUCACCCCACAGCCUCUCCAUCAUCUUCACCUCAUCAACACCAAACUUGGAGGCAUACAUCUUAGCAAAGUUUGUAAGGGUGAAAGCCCACCCAUGCAAACCAGCAGAGAAUGCAACAGUACCCUUCUCUGGGUACACUUGGACAUCACCAAGGAGCACAUCUUCAUAUGUUGCCAUGAUGACAUUGGCAUUUUCGAUGACACGGGAGAAAGUCUGAUAUGCUUCCUCACCUUCAAACUGAAGCUCAAGGAAGCAUCUGUCCAUCUUGUUCACAGUAAGAACAGGCCUAAUCCUCUCACCAAGAGCUUGGCGCAGCACAGUUUCAGUCUGCACACAGACACCCUCAAUGCAGUCAACAACCACCAAAGCACCAUCAGUGAUACGAAGAGCAGCUGUGACUUCCGAAGAAAAGUCAACGUGGCCAGGUGAAUCAAUAAGGUUGAUCAGGUAUUCAUCUCCAUCCCUGUCGCCCUUGUACAUCUCAAGUGAUUCAGGAGUCAUCUGAUAGAAAAGAGAGAUACCCGUGGAUUUGAUUGUAAUACCACGCUCUGCCUCAUCUGCACGGGUAUCAGUCAUGCGAACAUCCCCAGCAACUUCCUGGGCGAUAAUCCCAGCAGCUGCCACAAGGGAAUCCGUAAGCGUAGACUUGCCUGCAAAUAUGUAAAUAAUAUGUGAGAACAAUGCACAAGCAUCUGGUUUGACAGUUGAACACAACCUAUAUGAAUAGAAAAUUGAACAUGUUAACUCAUACAGUAUAAGGCAGAAGUAGGACAGAGCAGUACAGUACUUUCAAACAAUCAAGAAACAAAAGAAGGUACAAAUAAGCUCAACAAGGUUUUUAGUAACAUGGUUAAGCAAAAUCUAGUGGGACAUUGCAAACAAAAUAUGAAGACAUCAAUAUUGAAGUAACUAAGUACAAUCAUGUAAAUUUAAGAUCCUAUGCAGUGUAAUACAUUCAGGGACAAUGUGAGAAUACACCAAACUGGGAGAUACUAGGCCUGGGAUAUUAUGUCAAUAGUACCAUUUAAGCUUGGUGAAGCAGAAAUCAAUCAUAUAAUAAGCAGUGGUGAAGCAGAAAUCAAUCAUAUAAUAAGCAGUAGUAGUAAACUCCAGGACACAAUAAGAUGGAUUGGUUUUAGGGAUGAAACUAAUUAUGGCCCACUUCUUAAAUUGACCCAUUUAAAUAGUCUCAGUAUUUCGAAUUAAAUAGAGUAAAAUUAAGAGCAGGCUACAAAAACAUUGGUUAACAAAGAUUCUACUGUAUGAACUCAAUAAUUAGAGACAACUGUCUGUUUAGGCACAUACCGUGGUCGACAUGAGCAAUAACAGACAUGUUACGAAUAUUAUUUUUCUUGUCCAUAAUUCCGCGGAGCUCCUCCGCUGUAAACUUCACCAUCUUGACUGGUUUUGGAUAUCACACUGGGAAUAUAGUUCCUGUUCAGAAUGGACCAAAAAUCAAGUAAUUAAAACCACAAUUGAAUAAUCAGAAGGCUCUUACUACAGUUGGGCACGCAUUAGUUUCAAGUGCAGUCAACCAAGCAUAUUAAAACUAACAUAUGGGAACCGAAGACCAAGUUCUGAAAACUUAAUUGUCCAAAGUGCACUAAAAAGGAAGCCAGAAAGCAACGAUGGCAACCAAUUUUGAGAGCACUCGACAUGACAGUGUGCGAAAGAAAGCACAAAACAGUAAGAAAGAUAAGAAAGAAAAGCAGUCUAUUAUGUAGAGUGUGCACAAGUAUGAAGCACAAUCAGGCAACGGAUAUCACUAGCUAAACCUGUAUAACUUAUGAGGAUCACAGAAAACUUCGCAGGAAUCAACCAUAUGUGAAUGGAAAAGAAGAGUAGGUCUGAAACAGAAUCGUGGUUUUAUGCAAAGUUGAUUUGUAACAGAAGGGUAGUUUUAUGCACACGUGCUGACUGUACUAGCAUGUACACUACCAGUGUAAACACUAGAAACAAUGGAAGCACAGAAGGUCAUAAUGUUGAGCUCUGAAAUAGGUGCGACCAACCAUGCAUGGGGAGCACUGAGAAGAAUACCAGAAGAUAGCCACAUAUGAUCAAUUUAACCAAAUGAAAGAGAUCAGGGAUAAAUUCACCCAUAAUACCUCAACUAUAAGUACAUAAAAACUGGCACACCCCGAUACAAGAGUCUCCCGUUCUUUCUUUUUUUUUGAAAUAAAUACAAGAGUCUCCCGUUCUAUAUACACAUAGUUAUAUUAAAUUAAGCAUGCCAAGCAAAGAUGUGCAUCACCAUUUCCUCCGCCCUGAACAUGAAGACAGAGAACAAAACCAACCAGGCUACGACAGGCAGGCAAGCAAGCGAGCAAAACCCUACAGCUUGAGCAUUCUAAGAACCCCGUGGACGAACAGCAGCGCAGAAAAAAAUCGCCGAAAAAGCUAGCAGAGCACCAGAUGAAACAGAUCGCCGUCUACCACGGCGGAGCGGGCAGAUCCACGGUAAACACGGCGGGAGGAACACCCUUAGCUACCACAGAAGCACAUCGGAGGCGACGAGCUUAUGUAUCUAGUGACGUCAGCGCAAAGUCGUCGCCAGGAACAAGCGAGCGGGACGAACCAAGCAGCAGAUCUAACGCAUCUAAGAGCAGCGAGACCGCAUAGGAAUAAUCCCGGCGACCACGAGCCCAGCAAAGGGGACCGGAGCGCAUCGAGCUAGCGAGGAGACUGAGCCGGUGAAAUCGGUCGGCUAGGUAGCAGCUAGCUGCCUAGCACGGGCGCGCCCGCCGACGGAGCAGCCGGAGGGCGGCGGAAGGGGAGAGGAGAGGGGAGGUCCGGCUCACCUUGCGGGUUCGCCGAGAGAUGAGAGGUGGGGAAGCGGCGGCGCUCCCGAUCCGUGAGAAUGGAAAGGGUUCAAGGAAGUGAGCACGCUAGGUCGCAUUUGCUGGCCGUUAUAUACGCUAUUUUUGUUGGUUCCGUGCGGGCCAAGAUGCGCGGGGAGUGGAACUUUCCAAGGCCGGCCACGCGAAAUGCGGCCCGCAAGUGAAGCCGGCCUGUCCGGCGUCCACUGUGGUGGAGUCCGGCCCAAAGGGGAUGAUGGCCAGGCGUGGUGAGAAUUUCGGAAGUUGUCGGAGCGAAAGCUCCGAAGCGCCAUCAAAUGGCGAGGAAGCUUUCGGAAAACCUCUAACCACCUAGGAGCCCAAUCUUCAAAAGUAACAAGUGUUGGGUUUGAUGAAAAAAUGUAUGUUGGGUCUUGCUCUCUCUAUCACCAAAGAAUCAACAGGUUUGGGCGCACAUUUUUCAGAAACCAUGCUCAGUUUAGACUUCAUUGAAAGAUGGGUUUAAAUAAAGCAACCACGAAGAUUUUGGAUGGAGUGGUAAUAUUUGAACCUUGAUGUGUGACACGAACACAUGGCAACUCCGAAUGUUUUUUAUGACAAAUGUAGUGACGCGGGGAUGGCAACUUCAUAAGUCAAGCAUGGCCACUUGCUUUUUGGAUGGUAAGUUUCGGUUUUUUCUGGGUUUCUUUUUUUCUUUCUAGAUGACAAUUUCAGCAGUUGUAAAAAACGUGAGGGCAAGAGUGCUUCGUGCCACAUGUGUGGCACUUAUUAUUUAGGUGACAUGUUGUUGGAAUCACGCUCAAACUAAGCUUCGUCCAAAGAUGGUCCAAAGAUGAGUGCGGCCAAUCAAAAUUAGUGUUAGCUCUACCACAUUAUAUCUUCCUUUUUAGUGGAGAAUUUGAUGGAGGAGCUGCAGCCCUAUUUCCCCGUAUUAUUUCUGUUAGCAAUUGAAGGUUUUGUCUUGUCUUUUGAAAAGUAUUGGAAUUUCAUAAAAGAAAAGAAAAAACAUCUAUGCAGCGGCCAAAACACCCUGACCAAGGCCAAUCAUCUCUUAUCGAUAUUUACGAACAUUGUGUCCAAAUUAGGAAACUAGACUAGGAUCACUUCAUGUAUACCUGUUUGGUUUGCAGCGUAAGGUUUUAACGCUUAUUCUUAGUAGUGCCACAACAUCUUAGGAAUGUGUUUGAUUUAUUGCCACACUUUUCUAGCUACAAGGUUCACAUGUCAUAGGCUCACUUUUUGCUUAAUCUUGCAACACUUAUAGUCACCAUUUUAUUAACCACAUUUUUUGUGACAGCCACACUUUGUCUAAGCUUAAUACUUCCUCCAUCACGGUUUAGAAGGCACAGUUAAAUUUGCGUACGUUUUCACAAUAAACAAGGUUUAGAGCGCAUUGCAUUUAUUUCUAGUAGCUAAUUACUACUCCGAUAUACUAUUUCUAUAUGCAUGCGUAGUGUGAAUGCUAUUUUUUAGCCCAUCCCACAACCAAUAGAUAACCACCUAGGUCCCAGAGAAUUUUCAAGCGCGUCUUCUAAACCAUGACGGAGGGAGUAGUGGUUAAGUUAGUCAUGAAAACAAGUCAUGAAACGGCAUCCUAUGUUUCAGCAAAAAAAACUAAAAGGUUGAAGCUUGCUUGCAAGUGUCAUAAUUACAUAGAGCCUAUGUGUAUAACUAUUAAGCACAUGUGCAUCCAGUAACAGUCAUAAGAAAUAUAGCAAACAAAUCUAUUAUAUGCCUAAAUUUACUGAACAACUUCACAACUCAAUUUUGCUACAAACCUGGAAUAAGAGAAGUUACUGAGCAUGAGAAUUAUGCGAAUAUUCUAUUAUGCCUACAAAGGUUCAAUCUGUAAUAUUCCAAAAACAUAAGUUCGGAUACUCUCAGCGUUAACAGAUGCUUCUACUACAGUAUUUCUCUUAGGUCCAAUUUUUUUCCGCUCAAACAGAUGUAUCUUAGCACACAGUAGGGAGCAAUUUCUCAUCAUCAGUGUGUCCACAAAAUUGUAGGGCAUGAAAUGGAGAAUUGUGUACUGUAUACAAACUGCAGCAUAAACAAGUGCAGUAAGUUUUUGAGCAUAGAUUACAACUGCCAAAAGAUGGAACACAUUUUGAUGGUCAUCAAAUCAGGAAGGUAAAAUGAGAUCGAAAAACUGCAAGCAGAGCUCUCAAGAUCAUGAAAAAUAUAGAGCAAGACUGGAGCAAUAAAGAACCAGGCAGAGCUCUCAAGAUCAACACAAAAGCAAACACAAGACGCCAACAAGAACUACCAAUGGAUAACAGAUACUUGUAUAAUCUAAGCUUUAACAUCGACAGACAUCAAAACGAAGUGCCAGUAUCACGACAGAUAUAUAAUCUAAGUUUUAACAUCGACAGACAUCAAAACAAAGUGCCAGUAUCACGACCGAUAGGAAUCCCAAUAGCAGUACAGCGACGACUCAAUAGACAGAUAAUAGUGCAGCUCUCUUAGCAGCAAAAGCAAACUAGACCAUGUAACAGAAGCAAAAGUUCAGAGCUUGUCCUCGAAAUCAGAUAGAGGGGUCAUCUGUUCCUUCAGGCCCUUGCGCUUGCGGAUCUCCGUGACAAGUGUGGCAGACUGGGAGCCGGCCUCCAAAGGAUCAGAAGACAUGAUGUCCCAAUGGUCGAACACACACUGGGGGAAAGCCUGGCCGGAUGUCGCCGCCCUGAGGGUACUUGAGAACCCGAACGACUCGAUGACCGGGAGGUAAGCCUUGAUGUUGUACAGCGGGGUACCAGGCCUCUGCAUCUCCUCAAACACAUGCCCUCUCUUCUGAUUCAGAACACCAUAGAUACCACCGAGUGCAUUCUCCGGGGCCUGGAUCUCAACCAGGUACACAGGCUCCAGCAGCCUUGGCUUAGCAGUGAGCUGAGAAGCGUAAAUGACCCUCCUGGCUGUUGGGAUGACCUGACCACCACCCCUGUGAAUAGCAUCAGUGUGCAGAACAACAUCACAGACCUCAAAGCAAAUGCCACGCAUGUUCUCCUCAGCCAGAGCACCUUCUUUCGAUGCCCACUGGAACCCUGCCACAACAGAGUCCUUGAUUUCAUUCAGAUACUGCACUCCCUUACACAUGUCCACAACCAUGUUGGGGCCAGUCGUCUCAGGUCCAAAGCACCAAAUCUUCUUGGCGAGAUCCUUGUCCCAACCAAACUCCUCAGACAGGAUCUUGGAGCGCACCUUAGGAUCAUCACGCGGGCCAAUGCGGCCAUCAUCAAUAGCCUCAGCCAAUCCCUCCUCCAAUGGGCGAGCUUCCAUGUAC